rnacentral:rRNA from 1 species
AUUGAACGCUGGCGGCAGGCCUAACACAUGCAAGUCGAGCGGAGCGGCGGACGGGUGAGUAAUGCCUAGGAAUCUGCCUGGUAGUGGGGGAUAACGUCCGGAAACGGGCGCUAAUACCGCAUACUAUCAGAUGAGCCUAGGUCGGAUUAGCUAGUUGGUGGGGUAAAGGCCUACCAAGGCGACGAUCCGUAACUGGUCUGAGAGGAGGAUCAGUCACACUGGAACGGAGACAGGGUCAGGACUCCUCCGGGAGGAAGAAGGGGGGAACAUUGGACAAUGGGCGAAAGCUGGCUCCGGCCAGGCGGCGGGUGGGAAGAAGGUCUUCGGAUUUUAAAGUACUUUAAGCGGGGAGGCGGUACCAAAAGAAUAAGCACCGGCUAACUUCGUGCCAGCAGCCGCGGUAAUUC